rnacentral:rRNA from 2 species
UGGGCGGGGCGGCGUGCUACACAUGCAGUCGAACGAUGAACCGCCUUCGGGCGGGGAUUAGUGGCGAACGGGUGAGUAACACGUGGGCAAUCUGCCCUGCACUCUGGGACAAGCCCUGGAAACGGGGUCUAAUACCGGAUAUGACUGUCCGCCGCAUGGUGGAUGGUGUAAAGCUCCGGCGGUGCAGGAUGAGCCCGCGGCCUAUCAGCUUGUUGGUGAGGUAGUGGCUCACCAAGGCGACGACGGGUAGCCGGCCUGAGAGGGCGACCGGCCACACUGGGACUGAGACACGGCCCAGACUCCUACGGGAGGCAGCAGUGGGGAAUAUUGCACAAUGGGCGAAAGCCUGAUGCAGCGACGCCGCGUGAGGGAUGACGGCCUUCGGGUUGUAAACCUCUUUCAGCAGGGAAGAAGCGAGAGUGACGGUACCUGCAGAAGAAGCGCCGGCUAACUACGUGCCAGCAGCCGCGGUAAUACGUAGGGCGCAAGCGUUGUCCGGAAUUAUUGGGCGUAAAGAGCUCGUAGGCGGCUUGUCACGUCGGUUGUGAAAGCCCGGGGCUUAACCCCGGGUCUGCAGUCGAUACGGGCAGGCUAGAGUUCGGUAGGGGAGAUCGGAAUUCCUGGUGUAGCGGUGAAAUGCGCAGAUAUCACGAGGAACACCGGUGGCGAAGGCGGAUCUCUGGGCCGAUACUGACGCUGAGGAGCGAAAGCGUGGGAGGCAAACAG